UAAAGGAAUUCACAACUGACUUCACAUCACCUGAAGAUCUCUCAGCAGCUCACUUCAGUGUCUUUACUAGUCUCUUGGCUCUGACUAUCAGUCUGUGGACAGGAUGAAGGGUGUUAUGAUCUUUCUGGUGUUGACGCUGGUCGUCCUCAUGG